rnacentral:rRNA from 1 species
AGUAACGGCGAGUGAAGCGGCAACAGCUCAAAUUUGAAAUCUGGCCCCCCGCGGGCCCGAGUUGUACUUUGGAGAGGACGCUUCUGGCGCGGCGCCGUCCGAGUUCCCUGGAACGGGACGCCGGAGAGGGUGAGAGCCCCGUACGGGCGGCCGCCUAGCCUCUGCGAAGCUCCUUCGACGAGUCGAGUAGUUUGGGAAUGCUGCUCAAAAUGGGAGGUAAAUUUCUUCUAAAGCUAAAUACCGGCCAGAGACCGAUAGCGCACAAGUAGAGUGAUCGAAAGAUGAAAAGCACUUUGAAAAGAGGGUCAAACAGUACGUGAAAUUGUUGAAAGGGAAGCGCCUGUGGCCAGACUUGCGCCCCGCGGACCACCCGGCGCCUCGCGCGCCGGGGCACGCCAGCGGGGCGCAGGCCAGCAUCGGCUCUCUCGGGGGGACAAAGGCCGCGGGAACGUAGCGCCCUCGCGGCGUAUUAUAGCCCGCGGCGCCAUGCCCCCGGGGGGGCCGAGGACCGCGCUCCGGCAAGGAUGCUGGCGUAAUGGCCACCGGCGACCCGUCUUGAAACACGGACCAAGGAGUCAAGCAUUGGGGCGAGUGUCUGGGUGGCAAGCCCGCACGCGGAAUGAAAGUGAACGCAGGUGGGAGCUUCGGCGCACCACCGACCGAUCCUGAUGUCCUCGGAUGGAUUUGAGUAGGAGCCCCGCCGCUUGGACCCGAAAGAUGGUGAACUAUGCCUGUAUAGGGUGAAGCCAGAGGAAACUCUGGUGGAGGCCCGCAGCGGUUCUGACGUGCAAAUCGAUCGUCAAAUAUGGCAU